CUGUGUGGUUUCCUGGAGAGUCCAGGAUGUGGACUUGAAACUCUGAGAUUGAGGGGCUGUGGUUUGUCAGAGAUCAGCUGUGAUUAUCUGGCAGCAGCACUGAAGUCCAACCCCUCCCAUCUGAGAGAGCUGAACCUGAGCUCCAACAACAGCCUGCAGGAUUCAGGAGUGAAGCAUCUGUGUGGUUUCCUGGAGAGUCCAGGAUGUGGACUUGAAACUCUGAGAUUGAGGGACUGUGGUUUGUCAAAGAUCAGCUGUGAUUAUCUGGCAGCAGCACUGAACUCCAACCCCUCCCAUCUGAGAGAGCUGGACCUGAGUACUGACUCACGCUAUUCUUCGACUAAGAACAAGCUGCAGGAUUCAGGAGUGAAGUAUCUGUGUGGUUUCCUGGAGAGUCCAGGAUGUGGACUUGAAACUCUGAGCCGCCUCUAAUGCUGGGUAAUGUCAGCUGGUCCAUGUGCAGCUGGCUGUGAGGCUCAGGGAGCGUCUACAAAGUGCAACACUGAAAGAACAUCAUCCAUAAAUAUUGAGGAAUAACUGGACUCUCAUACAGCGAGACUCAAAUGCCUUUAAACA